AGAGUUUGAUCCUGGCUCAGGAUGAACGCUGGCGGCGUGCUUAACACAUGCAAGUCGAACGAACCUUCGGGUUAGUGGCGGACGGGUGAGUAACGCGUGGGAAUCUGCCCUCAGGAGGGGGAUAACGGCCGGAAACGGCCGCUAAUACCCCAUAUGCCGAGAGGUGAAAUGAAUUUCGCCUGAGGAUGAGCCCGCGUCUGAUUAGCUUGUUGGUGAGGUAAUGGCUCACCAAGGCUUCGAUCAGUAGCUGGUCUGAGAGGAUGAUCAGCCACACUGGGACUGAGACACGGCCCAGACUCCUACGGGAGGCAGCAGUGGGGAAUUUUCCGCAAUGGGCGAAAGCCUGACGGAGCAACGCCGCGUGAGGGAUGAAGGCCUCUGGGCUGUAAACCUCUUUUCUCAAGGAAGAAGAUCUGACGGUACUUGAGGAAUAAGCCACGGCUAAUUCCGUGCCAGCAGCCGCGGUAAUACGGGAGUGGCAAGCGUUAUCCGGAAUUAUUGGGCGUAAAGCGUCCGCAGGCGGCCUUUCAAGUCUGCUGUUAAAACGUGGAGCUUAACUCCAUCAUGGCAGUGGAAACUGUUGGGCUUGAGUGUGGUAGGGGCAGAGGGAAUUCCCGGUGUAGCGGUGAAAUGCGUAGAUAUCGGGAAGAACACCAGUGGCGAAGGCGCUCUGCUGGGCCAUAACUGACGCUCAUGGACGAAAGCCAGGGGAGCGAAAGGGAUUAGAUACCCCUGUAGUCCUGGCCGUAAACGAUGAACACUAGGUGUCGGGGGAAUCGACCCCCUCGGUGUCGUAGCCAACGCGUUAAGUGUUCCGCCUGGGGAGUACGCACGCAAGUGUGAAACUCAAAGGAAUUGACGGGGGCCCGCACAAGCGGUGGAGUAUGUGGUUUAAUUCGAUGCAACGCGAAGAACCUUACCAGGGUUUGACAUCCUGCGAAUCUCUUGGAAACGAGAGAGUGCCUUCGGGAACGCAGUGACAGGUGGUGCAUGGCUGUCGUCAGCUCGUGUCGUGAGAUGUUGGGUUAAGUCCCGCAACGAGCGCAACCCACGUUUUUAGUUGCCAGCAUUUAGUUGGGCACUCUAGAGAGACCGCCGGUGAUAAACCGGAGGAAGGUGUGGAUGACGUCAAGUCAUCAUGCCCCUUACAUCCUGGGCUACACACGUACUACAAUGCUACGGACAAAGGGCAGCAAGUUCGCGAGGACAAGCAAAUCCCAUAAACCGUGGCUCAGUUCAGAUCGUAGGCUGCAACUCGCCUACGUGAAGGCGGAAUCGCUAGUAAUCGCAGGUCAGCAUACUGCGGUGAAUACGUUCCCGGGCCUUGUACACACCGCCCGUCACACCAUGGAAGUUGGCCACGCCCGAAGUCGUUACUCCAACCCUUGUGGAGGAGGACGCCGAAGGUGGGGCUGAUGACUGGGGUGAAGUCGUAACAAGGUA
rnacentral:rRNA from 1 species